AAGUACAAUUUAUGCAUCUUUAGUUUAAUAUAAUAUAAAAGCAGAAGGUUCUGAAUUCGGAUACUGUUCGAUCCUUAGCCGCAUUUAAUCUCCUUUCAUUUACUUAUUCUUUAAAAGCUUAAAUUUUUGGCGAACGUACAUCAUUUGAGAGAACCAAGCUCAAACUUGACUAAAAGUUUAAGGACUAGUAGCUUAAUUUAACCCAUCUAAAUUAAAAUAUGGCUAAACUACAGAAAAAUUUUCUACAAAUAUUCGAUUUUUUUUUUCCUUCCUAACUUUUAAAAAUCUAUAUUUUAUUUUCUCAAAAUUUUUAGUUGAUGCAUUUAGCCUCCCCUUUGUUCUGAUUCUGUCACUAUCCCGUCCAAAUAUGGAUAAUUUGGUCAUUUGGUCAUUUUCAUUAAAACCGUAACUUUUUGAAAAUAUUUUUGAAAUAUCUAAGAAGACAAAAUGUAGAUUUUUAAAAGUCAGAAAGAAAAAAAAGGGAAAAAAUAGUUAUUUAUAAAAAAAAAACUAUAUAAUUUAUCCUUAAAUUAUACCUAGAUAUUUCUUUAGGGCGAUGUGGUCCAAUUGAGCCUAAUAUAUCAGACUUACCAAACGCUCUACAGCUUUUAACAGAAAUCACUUUUUCAAACCAAAAUCACUUUUUCAAAAAUCAUUUUUUCAGUAGCUAGGCCAAACAGGCCCUAGGUACUAUUAUUAUUACCACCACCACUACUACUACUACUACUANCGGCCGUCGCGGUUUUUGGUGACGCAUAGCGAAUGAAUUGAUAUGUUGGCAUGUUUGGGUAACUAGACCAUGUACAAAUUUUGCUGUCAUGUUCUACUUAUGCAAACAUAUAUUUGUGUAGAUCUUUUUUUUUUUUUUUUUUUUUUUUUUUUUUUUGCAGGUUGGUAUGUAGCAUGUGCAAUUUAUGGUGCUAAAUUAGAGUGAUGUAUGAGAAGGGUUUUUUAUUUUAUUUUAUUUUAUUUUAAUGUUUUGUAGAAAAGAAAUAUUUAUUAGUGUAGAUUAUUGGCACUAAAUAAUCUUCUUUUUUUUUUCCUUGUGGUUUUUCUUUUAUUCUAUUUCGAAUUGUGAGGGGUUAGAGCAAAAUUUUGGUUCUUUAAUUUUGGUUUUGCAAAAUUGGUUUAAAAUUGGAUCUGAAUACACAUUUGGAUAUGAUUAUCAUGUAUUACUCUCAUUUGGAUAAGAAUUUUAUACAACAAUGCAAUUCUUAGAAAAAAAAAAAAAAGAAAGAAAGAAAGUAAGUAUCAUUUUGCCAUAUUAAUUUAAUUACAUAACUUUUCUUUUUUUUCUUUAUUUUUUUCGAUUUGUCACAUCGUAAUAAAAUCGAACAAAACAAUCAAACCCUAAGAAAUAAUUUACUGAUUAAGUAUCUGAGUGUCGAUGUUGAGAUCAGUGGUUUGAAUACCCUGCAUGAGCUUAAAUUUUGAGCCAAUGUUCUCAGCAUCGGAUUUGAGUUAUUAAUGAACGCCUAUGCGAGGGAUCGAAUUUGUGACACACCAAUAGUCCCAUAUUGAAUAAUGUGAAAGAAUAAGUUAGGAUUAUAAGUAACAGACAUACUAGUAAUAAUAAGUAUUUUGGACUGAUGGUUUGGAUCCAACAAGUUAUUAUUACUAAUAGGUUGGAUUGUUAUAUUUGGUAUCCGAACUAAUCAUCAGUCAAAAGUGUGUGAUGAGUCCCAGCGGAGUCAGAGCUAUUUGUGUGAUAAGCUGAUAAAUACGUCAUGACCUAAUAAAAACUAGGUUUAAAUAUUUUGGACUAGUGGUCUGGGCCCAACGAGUUAUUAUUGCUAACGGAUUAAGUUGUUACAGAAUCCCCGACGUCUUGACUUAGCGACCAGAUUACCAACCACCUACACAAUGUAUUAGUGGUUAAUUAACAACUUAGCAUAGAAAAACACUAGAGUUAGGGGUGCAUUGAUUAAAUUUAUCCAAUUGUAUACAUAUAACAUGGUGAUUUAAUUUAUCCACAUUAAUACACAUAGUAUGGUAAUUAGAGUUAGAAAAAUAAGAUAUUAAGCUAAAGAAACACUAGAUUAGUAUUGGA
rnacentral:lncRNA from 1 species